ACGGAAGGCAGCAGUAGGGAAUAUUGCACAAUGGGGGAAACCCUGAUGCAGCAACGCCACGUGUGGGAAGAAGCAUUUCGGUGUGUAAACCACUGUCGUGAGGGAAUAAUGCUUGGUUACGGCCAAGUUGAAUGUACCUCGAAAGGAAGCACCGGCAAACUUCGUGCCAGCAGCCGCGGUAAUACGAGGGGUGCAAGCGGUGUUCGGAAUCACUGGGCGUAAAGGGAGCGCAGGCGGAGAUGCAAGCAGUCUGUACAAUACCGGGGCCCAACCCCGGACCUGCAGACUGGACUGUUUCUCUUGGAUAGUUCAGGGGCAAGCGAAAUUCCUGGUGUAGCGGUGAAAUGCGUAGAGAUCAGGAAGAACACCGAUGGCGAAGGCAGCUUGCUGGGGGCUUAUCGACGCUCAUGCUCGAAAGGGCGGGUAGCAAACAGGAU
rnacentral:rRNA from 1 species